CCCAGGCACCCAGAGUUCUGCUUUCUCAGAUUCCACACUUUACCAUGUAAAUGAUUACUGAGUCAAAGCUGGGCAUGGAAUAGAAUCUGGCCAACAGGGAGCCUUAUGCUGGAAAAGGAAUGCUUCUGGAAAGAGACUGCAGUGGGCUUGCCCCAGGGGAGAAGACACCUGGCUCAUGGCAAAGCAAGAAUCGGUUGGCUGCGUAGGACGGGCAGAUGGCCGUGGAUGAGACAGACGUGGCCCCUCCAGGGCACACAUGAUCUGAGGAGAGAGGCAGACAAUACAGACGGCAGAGACGUGGAUCGGAUCCUUUCAAACAUGAAAGACGCAACGUGAGGAUGCACGAGGGUCCUGACCUGGUGGGAAAGAUCACUCGGAGCUGGUGACAUCCAAGCCAGAACUGAGGGAUUAGGAGAAGCCAGCCACGUAGAGAGUGGAAGAGGAGUCUGGACAUUUCGAGCACGGGGAGGAAUCAGCUUCAGGACCCUGCAUAAAAGGGGUGCAGUCGCAGUGUAUGGAAAAAGAGCUUUUAGGCUAAUGCAGUGUGGGACAGAGAUGGGCAACCGGGAGGCAGGAAAUGAGGCUGCUGAGGUGAGCGGGAGCCGGAUCG